CUGGAGGUAUCAGAAGUGCGAAUGCUGACAUAAGUAACGAUAAAGCGGGUGAAAAGCCCGCUCGCCGGAAGACCAAGGGUUCCUGUCCAACGUUAAUCGGGGCAGGGUGAGUCGACCCCUAAGGCGAGGCCGAAAGGCGUAGUCGAUGGGAAACGGGUUAAUAUUCCCGUACUUGGUGUUACUGCGAAGGGGGGACGGAGAAGGCUAUGUUGGCCGGGCGACGGUUGUCCCGGUUUAAGCGUGUAGGUGUGUGUUCCAGGUAAAUCCGGUUCACUUUAACACUGAGGCGUGAUGACGAGGCACUACGGUGCUGAAGCAACAAAUGCCCUGCUUCCAGGAAAAGCCUCUAAGCAUCAGGUAACAUCAAAUCGUACCCCAAACCGACACAGGUGGUCAGGUAGAGAAUACCAAGGCGCUUGAGAGAACUCGGGUGAAGGAACUAGGCAAAAUGGUGCCGUAACUUCGGGAGAAGGCACGCUGA
rnacentral:rRNA from 2 species